rnacentral:rRNA from 1 species
GACAGAGGGGGCAAGCGUUGUCCGGACUGACUGGGCGUAAAGCGCGCGCAGGCGGUCAGAGGCGUCGGUGCUCAAAGUCCACCGCUUAACGGUGGGAGGCGUGCCGAUACGCUCUGACUGGAGGGCGGGCGAGGGUGGUGGAAUUGCCGGUGUAGUGGUGAAAUGCGUAGAGAUGGGGGAGAACACUCGUGGCGAAGGCGGCCAGCUAGACCAGUUCUGACACUGAGGCGCGACAGCGUGGGGAGCAAACAGG